rnacentral:tRNA from 1 species
GGAGAGAUGGCCGAGCGGUCGAAGGCGCACGCCUGGAGAGCGUGUAACCGGCAAAACCGGUUCGUGGGUUCAAAUCCCACUCUCUCCGCCA